GUAGGGGGCAAGCGCUGUCCGGAAUCAUUGGGCGUAAAGCGCGUGUAGGCGGCUUGGUAAGUCCGGUGUGAAAUCCUGGGGCUCAACCCCAGGCCUGCAUCGGAUACUGCCUCGCUCGAGUUCGGGAGGGGAGAGCGGAAUUCCUAGUGUAGCGGUGAAAUGCGCAGAUAUUAGGAAGAACACCGGUGGCGAAGGCGGCUCUCUGGAACGAUACUGACGCUGAGACGCGAAAGCGUGGGGAGCGAACAGGAUUAGAUACCCUGGUAGUCCACGCCGUAAACGAUGGGCACUAGAUGUGGGCGGUGUCGACUCCGUCCGUGCCGCAGCUAACGCAUUAAGUGCCCCGCCUGGGGAGUACGGCCGCAAGGCUA
rnacentral:rRNA from 1 species